rnacentral:lncRNA from 1 species
AUCAUCAUGGUACUUUAAGUAUGUGGAUCCAUGCUUUGGUUCAUUUCCUAGCAUGAUUCUUUGAGAUAUGUGUAGGAUGUUCUGGGUGUGGUGAAGUAUGCAUGGAGGUUGUGAGUGAUCAACAAGAAAUCAGUCACUCCUUAUAAGAGGAGAGAACAUCCUAUGUGAUCUCAUAGGAUGAUGACUCAGAGAGUCUCUAGCCAGAGCAGGGAUAAACAUUAGAAAGAGUUUCAUUGGUUCAUCAAUCAAGUUAUUAUCAUCAAAUAGAGAUACAUAUGAA